CAGCAGCCGCGGGAAAACGUAGGGUGCGAGCGUUAAUCGGAAUUACUGGGCGUAAAGCGUGCGCAGGCGGUUCGUUAAGACAGAUGUGAAAUCCCCGGGCUUAACCUGGGAACUGCAUUUGUGACUGGCGAGCUAGAGUAUGGCAGAGGGGGGUGGAAUUCCGCGUGUAGCAGUGAAAUGCGUAGAUAUGCGGAGGAACACCGAUGGCGAAGGCAGCCCCCUGGGCCAAUACUGACGCUCAUGCACGAAAGCGUGGGGAGCAAACAGGAUUAGAUACCCCUGUAGUCCCUGUCUCUUAUAC
rnacentral:rRNA from 1 species